rnacentral:rRNA from 1 species
UACGUAGGGUGCGAGCGUUAAUCGGAAUCACUGGGCGUAAAGCGCACGUAGGCGGCUUGUUAAGUCAGGGGUGAAAUCCUGGAGCUCAACUCCAGAACUGCCUUUGAUACUGGCGAGCUUGAGUUCGGGAGAGGUGAGUGGAACUGCGAGUGUAGAGGUGAAAUUCGUAGAUAUUCGCAAGAACACCAGUGGCGAAGGCGGCUCACUGGCCCGAUACUGACGCUGAGGUGCGAAAGCGUGGGGAGCAAACAGG